CUCCGUAGGGUGAACCUGCGGAGGGAUCAUUGCUGGAACGCGCUUCGGCGCACCCAGAAACCCUUUGUGAACUUAUACCUACUGUUGCCUCGGCGUCAGGCCGGCCCCUUCACUGGGGCCCCCCGGAGACGGGGAGCAGCCCGCCGGCGGCCAACUAAACUCUUGUUUCUACAGUGAAUCUCUGAGUAAAAAACAUAAAUGAAUCAAAACUUUCAACAACGGAUCUCUUGGUUCUGGCAUCGAUGAAGAACGCAGCGAAAUGCGAUAAGUAAUGUGAAUUGCAGAAUUCAGUGAAUCAUCGAAUCUUUGAACGCACAUUGCGCCCCCUGGUAUUCCGGGGGGCAUGCCUGUUCGAGCGUCAUUUCAACCCUCAAGCCUGGCUUGGUGAUGGGGCACUGCUUCGAGAGGAGCAGGCCCUGAAAUUCAGUGGCGAGCUCGCCAGGACCCCGAGCGUAGUAGUUAUAUCUCGCUUUGGAAGGCCCUGGCGGUGCCCUGCCGUUAAACCCCCAACUUCUGAAAAUUGACCUCGGAUCACGUAGAUCCACUCUUUUU
rnacentral:rRNA from 1 species